rnacentral:snoRNA from 1 species
GAUCACAGUGAUGGCUGUCCAGGGCUCCCUGACCUGUGCAGGCCUCUGCCAUGGGGGUGAUGAUGGCCAGUCCUGGUGUCUGAGUGAUU